rnacentral:misc_RNA from 1 species
CGAGAGAGUUUGCAAGAACUCCCCCAAACCCAUUGUGAACAUACCUGUAGUUUGCUUCGGCAGGCGGUCCCCGGGGGGGACCUCCAGCCUGCCUCCGGGCGGGUGCCUGCCGCAAGGCCACUAUAAACUCUGUUAUACCAAUUGUCUGAGAACAAGAAGCCCGCUGAAAAGCAGGGUAAAUCUAGUUA